rnacentral:misc_RNA from 1 species
CACAAUAAACAUAUGAUGGCUGCACCGCCAACAGGCGGCAAGGCUGGAGUAUUUUAUUACCCUUGUCUUUUGCGCACUUGUUGUUUCCUGGGCGGGUUCGCCCGCCUCCAGGACCACAUGAUAAACCUUUUUUAUGCAGUUGCAAUCAGCGUCAGUACAACAAAUGUAAAUCAUUUA